rnacentral:rRNA from 1 species
AGACGUCUACAUUAGAUACCCGCGUAGUCCCGGGUGUAAACGCUGCGGGCUUGGUGUUGGGGGUCCUUAGUGGGCGCCCAGUGCCGGAGAGAAGUUGUUAAGCCUGCUGCUUGGGGAGUAUGUCCGCAAGGCUGAAACUUAAAGGAAUUGGCGGGGGAGCACAACAACGGGUGGAGCUUGCGGUUUAAUUGGAUUCAACGCCGGAAAUCUUACCGGGACCGACAGCAACAUGAAGGCCAAGCUGAAGACUUUGCCGGAUUAGCUG